GCUGGGAAUAUGCUGGGGGAAGACACAGGCCUUGUUUCAAAACAAUCUACCUACUUAUCAUCUGGACACUGUCCUGGCUACUUCAGGGACACCAUUCCAGUUAACCUUCGCAGCAAUCCUGGGCCCUAUUUUACAGAUGAGCUUAUAUGCUGUAUGAAAGUCACGUGAACCCCAGAACUAGGAUUUGAACCCAGGUCUGCCCUAUGGCAGACGCCGUGUAUGUAAUCUUCAUAUUACACUGGAAAAAGCUACCUAUUCAAGGCACAUAUUCAAGGCAUAAUGGCUCCUGCCUCAAAAGCCUCCUUGCUGACUGUGCUUCCAAGCCUCAAACAGAGACACACAGCCUAUCCACAGGGCAGAAAAGUGAAGUCAGGCCAGUCCUGGAAAGGCUCAGAUCUCUCUGGCCUCAGAUCCCUGCUCUGCAAAGUGAGCAGGCAGCCUGGGUCUCAGGGAUUUGGCCCAGUGUCAGUGUCCCUGAAGCUCUCUGCCAAGUGCUGGGAAAGGGCACUGGAGAAGAGAGGUCAGAGGAGAUGCAUGACUGUGAGUACCCUCAUCCUUGCUCUGGGUAUGACAGUCACCCUGGAAUGAGGGAGCUUGGCAAAGGGUUUUAUCCUCCACUGUAUUUUGCUCUUGAUUCUGGGCAGGAUCCAGCUCCUGCCUUGCCCUCAGUGCUGAGUGACCUUAAGAAUCUCUGGGCUCAAAGCAUCCCCUUUGAGAGUAUUAUGUGUCUUCAGCAUUGACUUCAAUAUCUGGCAUGGAGUAGGUGCUCACCAGUGUUUGCUGAAUGCAUGAGAAGAGGUGGGGAGUGGAAGCGGGGAUGCCUUCCACAGGCCUCUUCUGAAGCACCCUGGGCCUGGCCCACUCUUUGCAGGGCCCCUCUGCCCCAUGUUGCCCUAACUCUGAACAGGGAUCAAAAGAAAGCCUGGUGGUUCAGGUCUUCCCAGUACUCUGGGAGCUCCUGGGAUGACAAGCAUUCGGGGCAGGGUCUCACUGGGGCCCUCAAAUAUGGCAUAUGGACACAGAUUCUCAUGCCAUUCCAGAUUUCUGGCCAUCCAAAUUCUCCCUGUCCUUAAGUCCUAGUCCAGGGUCCACCUACUCCAGGGGGUCUACUGGAAACAGAGCACCUGUUUUCUGACUUUCUAGUGCCCUGAGUGGGAACCACUUCACUGGGCUCUUGUUCCCAUGCUGUUGUGUGUUGCUUUGUAUGUAGUUCUUGGCCUACCUAAUGGCCCUGAGGAUCAGAAGUAAAUGGUCUCUGUUUCCAAUCUGUCUCCUAGGAGUGGACUGGUCAAAGAGAGUAGGCAGGGGCAAAGUAGAAGACUAAGGAUUUAAACGCAAUGUGCUGAAACAUCAAUGGAUGAUAAAACAAGUGGGUAAAAAAAAAAGGUAUGAGAAACAAUAUUUACAUAGCCUCAAAGUAUACCCCCACAAAAUACUUAUACAUUACAAAGGGAAAGUUAGUAAUUUUAUUAUACAAGGAGAAACCUGGCAGAUACCACCUUAACCAGGUGAUCAAAGUAAGUAUCAUCUGGAAUGUAAUAUGUAACAAAUGCUAUCAUGGGCCUCCUGGUCAGAUGUGUUCAAAAGGAGACAGUGUCACUUAUUCUUGCUGAGAAUGCAUAACCAGAAUCUAAUCAUAAGGAAACAAGACAAACCCAAAAUGUUCUAUGAAGUAAAUGGCUUGUGCUCAUUUAAAGAGACAAGACAACUAAGUGUAACUUGUGAUCCUUGGCCAGAAUUUCUUUCUUUUUUUUGUUUUUGUUUUUGGUUACAAAGGAUAUUAGUUCAACAACUGGCAACACUUAAAUAAGAUCAGGUACUGUGUCAGCAUUGAUUUCUUAAUUUUGAUACCUGUACUGUGGUUAUAUAAGAGGCUGUCCUUGUUUAGGAAAUAUAUACUGAACUUUUUGGGGAAAUAAGGAUAUUAGGUCAGCAAUUUACUCUCAAAUGUUUCCAGAAAAAAGUAGUAAUACAGUGUUUAUAUGUGUGUGAGAGAGUGUAUGAUAAAGCAAACAAGUUAAAUGUUAACACUUGGGGAAUAUGAGUAAAGGGUAUAAAAGUAUUCCUUGUGUUAUUUCUAAAACUUCUCUGUAUGUCUGACUUCAAAAUAAAAUGUAUGAAAAAAA
rnacentral:lncRNA from 1 species